rnacentral:lncRNA from 1 species
UAUCUUGGUAUUGAGUCCGAUUAUUAUACUUUUAUGUGUAUAAAUACUUUUGUAUAUUUAUAAAUUUUUAACCAUUAAAUCUACUUCUUUGAUCAUUACCACCAGUUAGAUUAUACUAUUCAACCAACUACUCAAACUUAGUUUGGUAUUGAGAUCUAUCUAAUGCUGUUAGAUAAAAUAGAGUUAGAAAAAAAGCAUAUAGAGAUAUGCUUCUGCGUUCUCCAGUAGACCGCAGAAAAUAUAGUAUAACCGAUUCAUCGCGAUAUGCGGAACGCAAUAUUACGUACGGAAACAAACAGGGUAUUUUUCUACCGUAGUUUCUCACCGCACGUAACGCAAUCUCCCCGCAAUUCCAAACGAAGCCUCACUCAACCCUAGAAAAUCACUAUUAUCCUAAUCGGGACCACUAUCAUCCUAACCGAAAAUCUCUUCAUCCAACGGACAAAGGGAUCUAUACCCAUGAAUACAGAAGAGUCUAUAUUCAUAAGAGCAUAGUAGUCAUAC